rnacentral:tRNA from 1 species
GGGGUUGUGGCUAAGAGGUAGAGCACUUGCCUAGCAUGCAUGAGGCACUAGGUUUGAUCCUCAGCACCA